GACGAACGCUGGCGGCGUGCCUAAUACAUGCAAGUAGGACGCACAGUUUAUACCGUAGCUUGCUACACCAUAGACUGUGAGUUGCGAACGGGUGAGUAACGCGUAGGUAACCUGCCUAUUAGAGGGGGAUAACUAUUGGAAACGAUAGCUAAUACCGCAUAACAGUAUGUAACACAUGUUAGAUGCUUGAAAGAUGCAAUUGCAUCGCUAGUAGAUGGACCUGCGUUGUAUUAGCUAGUAGGUAGGGUAAAGGCCUACCUAGGCAACGAUACAUAGCCGACCUGAGAGGGUGAUCGGCCACACUGGGACUGAGACACGGCCCAGACUCCUACGGGAGGCAGCAGUAGGGAAUCUUCGGCAAUGGGGGGAACCCUGACCGAGCAACGCCGCGUGAGUGAAGAAGGUUUUCGGAUCGUAAAGCUCUGUUGUUAAGGAAGAACGAGUGUGAGAAUGGAAAGUUCAUACUGUGACGGUACUUAACCAGAAAGGGACGGCUAACUACGUGCCAGCAGCCGCGGUAAUACGUAGGUCCCGAGCGUUGUCCGGAUUUAUUGGGCGUAAAGCGAGCGCAGGCGGUUAGAAAAGUCUGAAGUGAAAGGCAGUGGCUCAACCAUUGUAGGCUUUGGAAACUGUUUAACUUGAGUGCAGAAGGGGAGAGUGGAGUUCCAUGUGUAGCGGUGAAAUGCGUAGAUAUAUGGAGGAACACCGGUGGCGAAAGCGGCUCUCUGGUCUGUAACUGACGCUGAGGCUCGAAAGCGUGGGGAGCGAACAGG
rnacentral:rRNA from 1 species